GUUUUGCUUGUUGAAUCAAAACUAGAAAAUCAAGAGCAUCGUUUCCAAAUUCCAGUCCAAAUCCGAGAGAAGCUGAUCUAGGCAAAGGAAGAAGGGGGAAAUGGUUUGUGUAUCUUUAUCUUCUGCUGUUUCACUCUACAGUCCAUCUCUCUACAAAUCCAAUCUCUCCGUUCCUCUCUCUCUAAGAUCUUCACCGCCGAAUGCUAAGCUCUCCUUCAGUCCUGCCGCUAAACGGAGUUCCAUCUGUUAUAAUCCCCUCAGGUUUGCUGUCGGUAGCGA
rnacentral:misc_RNA from 1 species